rnacentral:lncRNA from 1 species
GUCUGUUAAAUUAUACUCAUUUAAAGAUUGUCUUACAACGAUGUUAUGUGUGAUUACUGUUUGUUAAAGGAAAGCAUGCCAUAUAUUUUAAUUUUAAUUAUGACUAUCAAACUAAGCCAAUUCAAAAUUUUACUUUACAUGUCUCAAAAUCUAAAGUUAUCUUUUAAAAACUUCUUCAAAACUCUUUGUGUUUACAUCCUACAAUAUAUCCUAAAGUACAAAAAGUGUUUUAGUUGAUUUUGAGAGAUGCUCCGUCUUUGGAGGUGCCCUUCAUUUUGAAUGACUCUGCCUAAGUUUAUUUUUGACUUAAAAACUUAACCGACAGCCUUUUUUUAUUAACCAUCUGUAGGUUGUUUUAACACAUAUUUAGAUGGUUUAUAUGAGAAGAUUACUUAUAUUUCGUUCCUACUUAAAGACUUUUCUAAAAGUAUUGGUAUUGAAAGCAAAAUGACAAGUCACCUUUAAACCAAAUCGUGCAGAGGCUGCACACAACCUUUUGCAUUGACAACACAACAUAAAAUUAAAGCAAACGAUAGCUCUAAAAGAUUCGCUUUCAUCAGAUAAGAAAUAUACCUCAAUAUAAUAUCAACAAUGAAGUCUUGCCUGCUUUACUAGUGUUAGCUCGCUGCUUCUAGUAGACUAUAUUCGACAAGAUAAUGGUGAACCUAAUUGAAUGUGUAGUCUUUCUUGUCAGUGUCACAGUGGACGUUGAAGGUGUAGACUUCGACUUCCAAGGAUUCUAUCAGGCAGAUACCCGGUUUACCCCGGAUAACGAGACCGACCACUUGGGAAUAAUGGAAAAUCUUAACAAGAACGUGCGAAGAAUGUUGGCGGCUCUUGAACGACAAACUAUGGCCGAAAUGAACAAACUGGCCCUCGAAGCGAUCACUCUUGGGCAGAACGUGCUUCACUCUGCAGAACUCCAGUUUAGGAAAUACGCCCAACCUGAAAGGUUCACUCAAUAUAUGGACUCUAAAAAUGUGGAAAGGUUCAUGGAAGCACAUAGAGAUACAAGAUACUGUUUAGAAAAAAUAGAUUCUAUUUUUGAAAAACUUCCAGGAGUAUUAAUGUAAGAUAGUUUAUUGCGUGUUAGGUCAUAAUAAUUUUGAUAACAACUAUUUUUAUAAAUCCAAUUAAAACAGUUAAAAUCUAAAGAUUUUAAAAAUUUAUUAUUUAUAAGAUAGUUUUUCGCGAGGAGGAAAUUUAUCUCCCUUCAUACACACAAAACUUGUGCUUUCAAGUGUGAAAGACAAGCAAUUUCUUAAAGGAUUGAAACCUAUAAAAGGAUAACUAUCUGAAUAAAGAAUCUCAUUGAAACCAAAUUUAAAUUGUGUCAUCGUUAUGUUCUUGUGUAAGUAAUUGGUGGACGAAGAAAUAUGGGGAUUUUGCAUACAAAAUCUACUUUAAUGAACCCAAGAUCGAAGGGGCUUGUAAAAAUUAAAACAAUUUUGGGAAACUGUUUUUAGACAAUAUUUUAUCUUGGUGGGGUAAUUGGCCGCGUUAUCUUUUUCUAAAGGUGGCAAUCCUAGGCCAAUGCGGAGUAUCAAGUGCCGGACGUCCGGUUUGUAAAAAUCCACUGUGAUUUUGUGGUGUUGUUUUGACGGCAUGUCACUGGAAGAGUGGAAGGUGGGUGUAAUUAUACGAUUAUCACUUACAUUGUUAUCAAGACACUUCACGUGUUUCAACAAAACGUUUAAAUAGAGAUGAAUGCUGAAUAAUUUAAAUCCCAUUGCUUGAAAAUGCGUUCCAGCAACGCUCAUUAUUGGGAAGAACUGAAGAGGAAAUACUACAUAAACUUGUAAAACCGUCUCCUGGCGAAGGGAGGAUCUUGAUCUCGCUGCUGAAGAAGUAUACAACGGUAUUGGAGGAGCUACUGGGAGCAUACAAGAGGAGUACCGGUUCUCACGUACUUGUCUCACGUAUUGUCCAAAAAUUGUAUAACAGAAGCGGUCCUCGUUUUAUUCAUGUACAAGUUGACUUGGAAAAUUUGAGGAAAAUCCAUUGGUGGUCUCAACAUGAAUUAAACUUUGUUAAGGAGUCUAUAGAAAACACUACACAAGUAUGGAUGGCUUUUAAAUCAUAUUUUGAGAAAAAUGGAAACAGGACAUCUUCAUGGUAAUAAUCCCCUCCCCACACAAUUACGUGUCAUAGUGUCCAACUUCGGUUUAGAUAGUUACUGACCUCCUUAUUGUCAUUAGUAAAGUAUUUAUUUACCCAUAUUGGAAAAGUGAAUGUACAAAAUAAAGACUAAACAAUAAUAAAUAAGUGAAAAUGUAAACAAUGUAAUCAAUUAAAGGUGUGAUUUCGACUUUUCAGCUACUUUAGUUUUCAUUUGUUCUAAAUUUUGUAAUGUUACAUCAUUUAAAUUUAUCUUAAGUUUUAAAGUAAAGUAGUACACACUUGACACAGUUAAACACAUUUAAAAUGAAGAUAUAUUAAUAUAUUAAGAAAAUAAUGGAAACUAUUUCAUUAUGUAUCCUGAAAUGUUUAUUGUGGAAGAAUAAAAAUAUGAGAAAUUUCAGUUUUAAUUUUGGUUUCAUUUUUAUAUAUUUUAAUAUAAUUUCCAACGGUGUUGUAGCAAGACAUUACAUUACGCGAUAUAAACUAAUCGUUCCGAUGUUGGUCUGAACAGAUAACAUUAUUAAUGAUCAAAGUGAACGUAUUUAAAAGGUAAUAUAAAUGUACAGUAUGUAUCUGUAUUAAUAGAUAUUUCUCAUUCAUACUUCAAACAUGGUCGUCGUACCAGGAACCCUACAGUCAUCCAAUUGUAAAUUUAUUCUUUCGCUAAUAAAUUUGAAAGUACCAACAUAUUUUUUAUAAGUAAAAGGUAUAAAAUAGUUAAAUAAAUUUUGCAAAAAUGUUUCUCUCAACCUGUAUACUUGCUGUGACCAAAUUGUUAGAGAGGGAAUUAGGCAUUUCAAAUAAUAAUCUAAAAGUUUUAUAAAUAUAUCUUGUGAUUGAAAUGAGUUAAAAAUGUAUAUUUAAAAAAGUAAUUUUUAUUAUACAUAUUACAUACAUGUAUGCUUUAGUGUAAAAUACUCGAAAUGAUUCCAAGAAAUAUUCUAAUAUCCAGCUAUACAAUAUUUCCCUCUCAUACAAAGUACAAUUCCUGUAAUGCAAAUUGUUUUAUGUAGUUUUAAAUAGGACUUUCCUAACUAUAAGAAUAAAAAUGUCAAUUUUGUAAUAAAUCAAAUGCAUGUACGCUCUUUAAUAUAAAAAAAUACUUGUGUUUGAUAGAUUUGGAGCUUCGAUUUGUGAUAUCACCACAUAAACACAUAUUAGACACAUCCUUAUGAAUAAUGUGAAGCAUGGAAUGAUAAAGAACAUUUUGGAGAGUUAAAGAGCAUAUAGAACACAUUAGAUUAAAAAUGUAUGUGAACAUAAGAAUUACAAGUCUUGAGUUUUAAAAAUUACUAAAGAUAUUUAGUAACUUAUUAUUAAUUGUUGUAGUGAGAGCUACAAACAUUAUAAUAGGCUAAGCGUUACCGAAACCUGACACUCAAGGGGCUGGAAAAUCUUCAUUUCUGUUUGUAUGUUUGUCUUUCUGUCCAUACAAUAUCUCUAAAACAAACUGACCUAAGGUAAUGUAUAAUUAAUGCAAACAUUCAAAAAUAGCCUGGCAUUUUUCGUAAUAAUACGUAACUGGUUGAGCGCACCAAAUUUCAUUAAUAAAAACUAUAUUUUAUUUCACAAAAUAUACCAAACAUAUCAAUAGAUAAUUAUAAAGACUACAGGAUUUUCUUUAAAUCCGAUAUCAUAUUGUUACACUUUUCCAACAAGUAAUUAAAUUGUGAUCUCUGUUCGUCGUUAAAUUUGAAGCUUUCACAGAGUAUCUGGUUACUUAUUGCUAUCCUUUGAACUAAUACCGCUAAGUCCGAUAGUGUGACCUUCAGGUCGUCUUCCAGUUCAACGUCAAGUCCUCUUUGUAUCUGUAACAACACGGUUGAUCUGAAGUCACUCAAAGACCUGUGAAGUGAUUUCAUUUCGUACAUCAGUGUUGUGUUUGGAUUAAAUGUCUCUCUCAGGAUUUUUCUAGCCUCUUUCUCGUGAUUUGUAUUGAGUUCAUUAAAACCCAACUCGUCUAAAACAUUUCCCGUAGUUUUAUCACUUCCACUAUAUUCAAGUAGUAUAGUGUACAUGAAUACAUAUAUAUUUAAACAUACCAUUCUUUAAUACAAUGAUUACUAAAAAGUUCUGCAUAUCUGUUAAAAUUCACAGAGUGUUUAAGGUUUACUGAUGGAUAAGUAAACACUGUUAAGUUCUGGGCCCAAAACAACUCAUAAUUGAUGUUACAUUAUUAUGAGUCAGUAACUAAAAUACUUUCUAAUUUACUUUUUAGUUUUAACUCAAAGACCUACGCAAAUUCUUUGAACGCACUGUUCAUGACGAUAUAUCUAGUUAAGUUCGUAUUAACAGACCUAGGCUAUCAACUUGAAUAAAUUAUUUUUACAAACUGUUUAAGCAAUUGCAACACAUAAAAAAAAACAAUGGUGUGAGUUGCUCGAAUUUUGAAACUCUCAGUUCUAGACUUUACGUAAUAUGGGUACUGCAACAUGACGUUAUAUAAUUAUGUGAUUAGUAUCAAACUGCCAAACAAUAAAUAUUUUUGUCUGAGCUAUAUUGUUCUUUUAAUUUUUCUCUGAUACGCACAAAGAAUACUUCUGAAAUUCACAUUUUGAUAACAAAAACACGUGGUACAUACAGUCAAUUCAUUACGCUGUGGAGGAUGUCAUGGAGGAGUGGCAAAGUUUGACAAUAAUUAUAAAUUGCGAGAGCCUUCUCCCAACUUUUGGAAGAUCUCAGCUAAGUUAAGACUGAAAACAUACAAUGUAGUUGUGCUGAAGCCUUGACCUCCAUUCCCUGGCACAAAAGUUAUUUAAUACUAUUCCAAGUUAUAAUUUAAUCAAACAUUUUGAUGAAAGUUUUGGUUAAUGUCCAUGGCUAACUAAAAUGACCAGUCUGUUAUGUUUAAAAUUGUAUUGGCUCUGGAACUUCCCCUCCAAAUUAAAAAGCUUACGAGAUCAA